rnacentral:rRNA from 1 species
UGGGGAAUAUUGGACAAUGGGGGGAACCCUGAUCCAGCCAUGCCGCGUGUGUGAAGAAGGCCUUAUGGUUGUAAAGCACUUUAAGCGAGGAGGAGGGUACUGGUAGUAAUACUACCAGGUACUGGACGUUACUCGCAGAAUAAGCACCGGCUAACUCUGUGCCAGCAGCCGCGGUAAUACAGAGGGUGCGAGCGUUAAUCGGAUUUACUGGGCGUAAAGCGUGCGUAGGCGGCUAAUUGAGUCGGAUGUGAAAUCCCCGGGCUUAACUUGGGAAUUGCAUUCGAUACUGGUUAGCUAGAGUGUGGGAGAGGAUGGUAGAAUUCCAGGUGUAGCGGUGAAAUGCGUAGAGAUCUGGAGGAAUACCGAUGGCGAAGGCAGCCAUCUGGCCUAACACUGACGCUGAGGUACGAAAGCAUGGGGAGCAAACAGG